CCUACGGGUGGCAGCAGUGAGGAAUAUUGGUCAAUGGGCGGGAGCCUGAACCAGCCAAGUCGCGUGAGGGAAGACGGUCCUAUGGAUUGUAAACCUCUUUAGGCGGUGAGCAAUGCCGGGCACGUGUGCCCGGAGGGAGAGUACCCGCAGAAUAAGCAUCGGCUAACUCCGUGCCAGCAGCCGCGGUAAUACGGAGGAUGCGAGCGUUAUCCGUAUUUCUUGGGUUUAAAGGGUGCGGAGGCGGCUUGUUAAGUCAGCGGUAAAAGGUCCGGGCUCAACCCGGGCCGGCCGUUGAAACUGGGGAUCUUGAGUGGGCGAGAAGUAUGCGGAAUGCGUGGUGUAGCGGUGAAAUGCAUAGAUAUCACGCAGAACUCCGAUUGCGAAGGCAGCAUACCGGCGCCCGACUGACGCUGAGGCACGAAAGCGUGGGGAUCGAACAGGAUUAGAUACCCCGGUAGUC
rnacentral:rRNA from 1 species